ACAGAAGAGUUAAUUCCUUGACAUAUUAGAGUACAACUUUUUUAAAAGGUUGAGAUCCAGGGCACCUGGGGGAUUCAGCCAGUUAAGCAUCUGCCUUCAGCACAGGGCAUGAUCUCAGGGUCCUGGGAUAGAGCCCCACAGCAGCAGCAGGCAGUGGGGAGUCUGCUUCUCCCUCCCCCUCUGCUCCUCCUCCCUGCUCGUGCACACACACUCUCUCUCUCUCUCAAAUAAAUAAAUAAAUAAUCUUUUUUAAAAAAGGUUGAAAUCCAAUCUAAGUAAAGGUCAAAAGGCAAACUCAUAUUUCAAAAGCUUCAAAAAUAUUUCUACUCAACAACUUUACUUCAAAGAAUUUAUCCUAAGGUAAAAAUAAAUUACAAAGAUGUAGAAAUUAUGAUAGUCAUGGAAUAGAUUUUAUGACAGCAAGAAAACAGAAAGAACAUAAACAUCCAGCUAAAUAAACCGCAGGACCUUAGAAACACCGUUGAAGAAGACUUUGCAUGAAAUUAUAUUAAUUAUACAUUGUUAGGUAGGGGGGAAAGGUAAAUGACAGUGGGUAAUGGUCUCAUAUUUAAAAAAUAAUAAUAAAUGGACACCAGUGUUAAAAUUCAAGCAGAAAAAAAAUAUUUACCAAAAUACUAAUGGUGAUUGUCUGUAAACAUUGAUAUUACAAGUAGGAUUUCUAGUUCUCGUUGCCAAUCUUUAUUUUAUAAAUUUUUCUACAAUCAACAUGUACAACUUGCAUAAUAAUUGUUAAAAUAAUAACAACAAUAGUAGUAAAAUCAUGCUGAAAAUUGUUAAGCUUUUACUCCUUUCAAAGAGCAUGAACAUGCUACUUCUUUUUCUCCUUAGCAUGGAAGAAAGCACCACGGAUUCCCAUUAAUGGAAAAAGAUGUGGCUUGCCCUCACCCUGAGGGACACUUUCAGUGAGAUGAUUACAGCUGCUAUGACAACAAGGGGAGGAUGUGAUGUCACAUAAUGAUCCAGUGACUGCAAUGUUCCCAUCCCAAUGCAGAGCUCUCACUGCCAGCUGGAAAUCCAGCAGAGACCUCAUUAAGGGCAUCUGUUCGGUCAUAAACCCUCUCUGUGGGAUAAGAGAAGAUGUUGGAUGCCCGAAAGUACUUUGGAUUUCUACCAAAGGUAUGCCCCACAGGAAUAGGAAGAGCCCUUCCCCGACAUCCCCCAUGCAACGUCAGGCUCACACAUAACCACAGUAGCUUCAGAUACCCUGGACUCAAGUCCUGGUCUCUCCACUUCCUCAGGCAAGUACCUGUGUUUCCCUUCUUCAUCAGAAAAUGGGGAGUUAAAUGAGCAGGUACUUUCAAAGCCCUUAGAACAGUGCCUUGGCAAAUCACAAGUGCUCAGUUAGAGACAGAGGAGAGAAUAAGUAUAUGUGGAGGGAGAGAGAGAGAGAGAGAGAGAGAGAGAGAGAGAGAGACUGUGUGUGUGUGUGUGUGUGUGUGUGUGUAACUGGUAAGACAUCACUGUCCAAACAGGCUGUGCUGUGAAAGGCUCAGGUAAGUUUCACCUGGCUCCUGGGGUACCACAAAGGAAAACUGAGAUAAGCACAUUUCUCACUAAGUUAAAGAAAGAGUAAGUGGAGUAAUUUUCAAUGUCCAUACAUACAAUUAGAUUUUAAAAAGCAAGUAAUAGAACAACAUGUAGGAUCCCAUUUAAAUAUAAAAUAUAAUAGAAUAUUAAGUGAACAAUAGGACAAACAAAAAUAUGGAAGCAGACUCACCUAAAUACUAAUAAAGGUCAUCUCUGGAUAAUAAGGUUUUCUUUC
rnacentral:lncRNA from 12 species